rnacentral:rRNA from 1 species
UACGGAGGGUGCAAGCGUUAUCCGGAUUCACUGGGUUUAAAGGGUGCGUAGGCGGGCAUGUAAGUCAGUGGUGAAAUCUCAGAGCUUAACUCUGAAACUGCCAUUGAUACUAUGUGUCUUGAAUUUUCUGGAGGUUAGCGGAAUAUGUCAUGUAGCGGUGAAAUGCUUAGAUAUGACAUAGAACACCGAUUGCGAAGGCAGCUGACUACGGAUGAAUUGACGCUGAGGCACGAAAGCGUGGGGAUCAAACAGG